rnacentral:hammerhead_ribozyme from 1 species
AUCUAGAUGACGAGUCCCGAAUAGAACGAAACACACGUCCUGGAU